UACGGAGGGUGCGAACGUUAAUCGGAAUCACUGGGCGUAAAGCGCGCGUAGGCGGUUCGUUAAGUGGGAUGUGAAAUCCCCGGGCUUAACCUGGGAAUUGCAUUUCAAACUGGCCGACUAGAGUACGGUAGAGGGAGGUAGAAUUUCCUGUGUAGCGGUGAAAUGCGUAGAUAUCUGGAGGAAUACCGGUGGCGAAGGCGGCAUCCUGGACCGGCAUGACGCUGAGGAGCGAAGCUAGGGGAG
rnacentral:rRNA from 1 species